CUGAGGAGCAUUGAGUCUAAGGAGGAGCCACUGCCCUGUCAACUGUGCUGUUCAGUCAGUCCCGAGCUUCUUCUGGGAGGACAGAGAGUUAAGACUUGCCUUUUCUGGAAUGAGUAUAGGAGAUAUAGUUUACCUACAUUCUAGUCUCUGGAUUCUGAGCCCGUGUCCUGCUCACCUAGCAUCUGUGUGGAGAAGCUGGUCAACUGGAGAGAUUUCCAGAGAACCUAGUCUCUAGAGGAAAGACACGCUCCCGUGAAAUGGAAGUAUAAAGUUUACCAUUUCCUUAUGAAAUCCUGUGGUGAUGAGGGAACUGGUGAGGCCGUGGACUUAAGUUGCACUGUUAUGCUGGAUGGUGGCAGUGGGCCAAGCUC